AAAAUUAGUGGUUGGGAGGAAAAAUUGUUGUCAACCGAAGGGAAGGAGACCCUGCUCAAGGUUGUUAUCCAAGCCAUACCCUCCUAUGCAAUGUCGGUCUUUAAAAUUCCUAAAAGCAUUUGUAAAGGAAUCAUUGACGCAAUAGCGCAUUUCUGGUGGGGAGACGAGGAAAACCAGAGGAGGAUGCAUUGGAUGGCCUGGUGGAAAAUGUGCGUACCUAAAAACCAAGGGGGGAUGGGAUUUCGUGAUAUUCACUGUUUUAACUUGGCUUUGCUUGCCAAGCAGGCGUGGCGUCUUAUUGAUAGACCCGACUCCUUGUGUGCUACUAUCCUAAGGGCUAAGUACUAUCCUGACAGCGAUUUGUUGAACACCAAAUUAAUGAAAGGUUCUUCAUUUGCGUGA
rnacentral:rRNA from 1 species